GAUGAACGCUAGCUACAGGCUUAACACAUGCAAGUCGAGGGGCAGCAUGGUCUUAGCUUGCUAAGGCCGAUGGCGACCGGCGCACGGGUGAGUAACACGUAUCCAACCUGCCGUCUACUCUUGGACAGCCUUCUGAAAGGAAGAUUAAUACAAGAUGGCAUCAUGAGUCCGCAUGUUCACAUGAUUAAAGGUAUUCCGGUAGACGAUGGGGAUGCGUUCCAUUAGAUAGUAGGCGGGGUAACGGCCCACCUAGUCUUCGAUGGAUAGGGGUUCUGAGAGGAAGGUCCCCCACAUUGGAACUGAGACACGGUCCAAACUCCUACGGGAGGCAGCAGUGAGGAAUAUUGGGCAAGGGGCGCAGGCCUGAACCAGCCAAGUAGCGUGAAGGAUGACUGCCCUAUGGGUUGUAAACUUCUUUUAUAAAGGAAUAAAGUCGGGUAGGGAUACCCGUUUGCAUGUACUUUAUGAAUAAGGAUCGGCUAACUCCGUG
rnacentral:rRNA from 1 species